AGUUGAGUUGAGUUGAGUUGGUGAAUAUUUAAAAUGAAGGGAAUCCCCCAUUAUGAUUAUGAGGAAUAUGCGUUCAAAAAUUGUUGGUUUUCAAAAUUCUGGUUUAGGUAUUUUAUAUGCCAAUUGUUGGAAUUGAAUUUUUGUGUGCAUGAUUUGGUAUGGAACCCAUCGAGAAUAGAUGUAUCAAAUCAUGCCCAAGUUCCUAGAUGAGCGGAUGGUCUUUUUCUAGGCUGAUGCACUUUGAGACAUUUGAAAAACAUGACUGCUUACGACUUAAUUUAAGAUAUGGUUGUUAGUUAUCUUGUGUAGACAUUGAAAAGUUUUUCUUUCUUAUAUCAAUAAUUUAUUUUUGCAAUGUCAACGUCUCUUCUUUACUUUUUCUGUAUGAAUACAUGUUCAUUAGAAUGUGACCAAAGAGGAUUGGCUAAUUUUAGUAUACAAUUUUUUUCCAAGAGGAAAUUCCUCACACGUCCUGAAUGCUUAUAACUAAAGUUUCACUGCGGUUUUAUGGUUCACCACCAGUAAUAGUACGGACUAGUUCAGUUCUAAAAAAAUAGGUAUUAUGAAGGUACAGCUCUUGGUCUAUUUGAGCUUGCCGUUGUAUAGGAUAUUAGGCCAUGCUAUACAUGGAGUUCUUUUGGUUGCUAGGUAGAACUGCUAUUUAGCUUUGUUCCCCAAUGGUUACUGGUAUAUGAGUUCAUAAUUUUUUACUUCUAUCACAUUUUACAUAUUUAGUGCCUGUUAAUCUUCUCUACCACUCAUCACCUUUUUUCAGUUAGUUUGAAAUUUGCUUUUAGUAACAAUUUGUUUUGCUUUACUUAUUUUACUUUGAUAUAUAUGGGGCCCUAGGUAUUUUAUUGUUAAAAGUUGCAACCGUGAAAAUUUGGAAUUAUCUGUACAACAAGGAGUUUGGGCAACUCAAAGGAGCAAUGAAGCUAAACUAAAUGAAGCUUUUGACUCUGCUGAAAAUGUGAUUUUGAUUUUCUCAGUCAAUCGGACUCGACAUUUCCAGGGAUGUGCAAAGAUGACAUCCAAAAUUGGUGCUUCUGCUGUUGGGGGGAAUUGGAAGUAUGCGCAUGGAACUGCACACUAUGGACGAAAUUUUUCAGUCAAAUGGUUGAAGUUAUGCGAAUUAUCAUUCCACAAAACGCGCCAUUUGAGGAACCCAUACAAUGAGAACUUACCAGUGAAGAUCAGUAGAGAUUGCCAGGAGCUAGAGCCCUCAAUUGGUGAGCAGUUAGCUUCCUUACUUUAUCUUGAGCCUGACAGUGAACUCAUGGCAAUCUCAGUUGCAGCAGAAGCAAAACGAGAAGAGGAAAAAGCAAAGGGAGUUAAUCCAGACAAUGGAGGAGAGAACCCAGACAUUGUUCCAUUUGAGGACAAUGAAGAAGAGGAGGAGGAAGAAAGUGAAGAGGAGGAGGAGAGUUUUGGUCAGGCUCUUGGGGCUGCAGGUCAAGGGCGAGGGAGAGGCAGGGGAAUCAUGUGGCCUCAGAUGCCACUGGCCCGUGGUGCUAGGCCCAUCCCUGGGAUGCGAGGUUUCCCCCCAGUGAUGAUGGGUGCUGAUGGCUUUUCUUAUGGACCAGUGGCGCCUGAUGGUUUUGGAAUGCCUGAUCUUUUUGGUGUGGCACACCGUGGAUUUACACCAUUUGGUCCAAGGUUUUCUGGUGAUUUUACAGGUCCUGCAUCUGGCAUGAUGUUUCCUGGGAGACCUUCCCAACCUGGGGCAAUGUUUCCAACUGGUGGAUUUGGCAUGAUGAUGCCAGGACGUGCUCCUUUUAUUGGGGCAAUGGGCCCCACUGCCACAAAUCAACUUCGAGGUAGUCGACCAGGUGUUAUGCCAUUUCCACCACUCCCUACACCAUCUAUUCAAAACAGCAAUAGACCUGUUAAGAGAGAUCAGAGGACAGCAGCUAAUGAUCGAAAUGAUAAAUACAGUGCAGGGUCAGACCAAGGCAGGGGUACAGCCGGCGGACUGGAUGAUGAGGGACAAUACCAGCAAGAAGGAAUAAAGGCUGCCCAUGAAGAUCAAUUUGGUGCGGGGACCAGGUUCAGAAAUGACGAGAGUGAAAGUGAGGAUGAGGCACCAAGGCGAUCAAGGCAUGGGGAAGGGAAAAAGAAGCAACGAGGCUCAGAAGGAGAUGCAACUCCACGCUCUGAUCACUAACAGCACUACUGGCUGAGCUUGAGAGGUGGGUUACAGGCACAUUCACCUAUUUCAGUCAUAGGCUUUAAUGUGAAUACAAUUGAACUAUUUACUCCCCAUGCCUGGGUUGUGUUUCUUAUUUAUUAAGCGUGGGGGAUAAGAGAGGUAUUGGCUGUUGGGCUUUUUCAAUUUUUGCUUUCCUUUUUUUGUUUUUUUUGUUCUCCUUCACCGUUUUUGUUAAAGUUAACUUGUUCGUUAUAUAGCCAAAUUUGUGUAUAUUUGUAUGUUUAAAUGAGUGGAAAUGGAAUGUUGGUGAUUAAUGCAAAUGUUUUUGGAAGAAUUAUUUAUAUGUGAAGGUAUGGACACAGCCGUUUGUCAUCUCAUUUUGAUGAUUCUUAAUAUUGUUGGAUGAGAAACCUUUAUCAUUGUUUCUCAUGAGUACUCGUAUGAUGAUAAUAGCGAGG
rnacentral:misc_RNA from 1 species